rnacentral:rRNA from 1 species
CACGGAAUUAGCCGGUCCUUAUUCAUGCGGUACCUGCAAACACCCACACGUGGGUGACUUUAUCCCCGCAUAAAAGCAGUUUACAACCCAUAGGGCCGUCAUCCUGCACGCUACUUGGCUGGUUCAGGCUAGCGCCCAUUGACCAAUAUUCCUCACUGCUGCCUCCCGUAGGAGUUAGGACCGUGUCUCAGUUCCUAUGUGGGGGACCUUCCUCUCAGAACCCCUACUGAUCGAUGCCUUGGUGGGCCGUUACCCCGCCAACAAGCUAAUCAGACGCAUCCCCAUCCCAUACCGAUGAACUCUUUAGUCCUAAUCUGAUGCCGUCAAAGGCCUCCAGUAGGGCAUUACGUCCGUCUUUACGAACGGGUUAUUCCCGUGGGUAAGGGCUAGGUUGGAGUACGCGUUACUCACCCGUGCGCCGGUCGACGUACC